rnacentral:rRNA from 1 species
GACGAACGCUGGCGGCGUGCUUAACACAUGCAAGUCGAACGGAAAGGCCCUGCUUUUGUGGGGUGCUCGAGUGGCGAACGGGUGAGUAACACGUGAGUAACCUGCCCUUGACUUUGGGAUAACUUCAGGAAACUGGGGCUAAUACCGGAUAGGAGCUCCUGCUGCAUGGUGGGGGUUGGAACGUUUCGGCGGUUGGGGAUGGACUCGCGGCUUAUCAGCUUGUUGGUGGGGUAGUGGCUUACCAAGGCUUUGACGGGUAGCCGGCCUGAGAGGGUGACCGGCCACAUUGGGACUGAGAUACGGCCCAGACUCCUACGGGAGGCAGCAGUGGGGAAUAUUGCACAAUGGGCGGAAGCCUGAUGCAGCAACGCCGCGUGCGGGAUGACGGCCUUCGGGUUGUAAACCGCUUUCGCCUGUGACGAAGCGUGAGUGACGGUAAUGGGUAAAGAAGCACCGGCUAACUACGCG